GACGAACGCUGGCGGCGUGCUUAACACAUGCAAGUCGAACGGAAAGGCCCUGCUUUUGUGGGGUGCUCGAGUGGCGAACGGGUGAGUAACACGUGAGUAACCUGCCCUUGACUUUUGGAUAACUUCAGGAAACUGGGGCUAAUACCGGAUAGGAGCUCCUGCUGCAUGGUGGGGGUUGGAAAGUUUCGGCGGUUGGGGAUGGACUCGCGGCUUAUCAGCUUGUUGGUGGGGUAGUGGCUUACCAAGGCUUUGACGGGUAGUCGGCCUGAGAGGGUGACCGGCCACAUUGGGACUGAGAUACGGCCCAGACUCCUACGGGAGGCAGCAGUGGGGAAUAUUGCACAAUGGGCGGAAGCCUGAUGCAGCAACGCCGCGUGCGGGAUGACGGCCUUCGGGUUGUAAACCGCUUUCGCCUGUGACGAAGCGUGAGUGACGGUAAUGGGUAAAGAAGCACCGGCUAACUACGUG
rnacentral:rRNA from 1 species